GACGGCGCCUUUCUUCCUCCAAUCAAUAGAGGCUGGUACUUUGUCUAUGUUCCCAUACAUGAAGCUUCCAUUUCCCAGCGGUGCUCCCCGAAACAUAGUAUGAUGCUUAACUUUAGAGCUAGCAUAAGCGGUCCUGAAUUCAUGAUUCCGUGUCCUUAUGCAAUGCUGAUAAAUAAUGAUGGCCGGUCAACGUGUCCUGAAGCAACUUGCCGAUAGAGAAAUCAUAAAUCAUGAUUCUUUGCCUGGUAAAGCGGGCAGCUGUUAUUUGGGAGAAAGCAAAUGCAAUGGUUGACAGCUUUGUUGGGUUCUGUAAAGACAAGGCAAAUAGCCCUGACAUUGCCUUGGAUGGUUUAGGACAUGGUUGACUUGCUUUCCUUGUUUUGUUUCAAGUUUCUUAAGUUCUGCAACUGUGAAGUUUUUCAAAAAUUUAUUCUUCAAUAUAUAGUAUAAUAUUUUAAGAAAUUACAUCAUGAUCAAAUUAGGGAUACGUUAUUUUUAAGAGGCAAAUCUGAUACAGCAGGAAAAACAACUGAAAUGGAUAGCAAUUCUGAAACCAAUGAUAUUGCUUAUGUAGUUUAGAGUUCAUCCUUGGGGGAAGAUUUGGUUCCUGAAGGAUUAGUUGAGGAGUUUUUGAUA